rnacentral:lncRNA from 1 species
GACUGUGAGGUAGAUGGUGGUGUAGGCUCCUUCUGCUGGAUUAUCAACAACCUAAAGGUCUUGAUUAUGUCCACAAGAGGCUGGUUUAUGCACCUUAUGAUCAUAGUAUUGGACAAACCAGGCUCCACAGCAUAAGGAAUUACACCCACAUCUGGAGGCAAAGGAGUGAAUGCGUGAGUUUUAAAUGUUGAACAGAGUGAAUGAACUAGAAUAAACCAAAGAAAAUGCCUGACAUACAUUUUGAUUAUAGCUCAAAGGCACCAGAUAUAAUUCAUUGGUACAAAUUUUUGAUCACAGGAACCAUCUUUUAGCUGCAAUAGACAUAGACUGCUAGGGGACUUAAUUUAUACAGUGAGCUCAUCUGGUCCCUACCUCCUCUGUCCCAUAACCUGGAUCCAACCAUCCUGCCUGUAUCCAGUCCCUGGUCCAACCAUCCUGCCUGUGCUCUGUUGUUGCUUGUUGCUGUUGCUGUGCUUUUCUCUCUAUCCUCUCACCCCAACCGGUCGAGGCAGAUGGCUGCCCACAUCCAGUCUGGUUCUGCUGGAGGUUUCUUCCUCGUUAGAGAGGGAGUUUUUCCUCUCCACUGUUGCUGUCAAAUUAAAUGCUUGCUGUAUGUGGGAUUUGUUGGGUUUAGUUGUGUGAGGUUUUAAACCUUACUUUGUAAUGUGCCUUGAAAUAACUUUGUUGUGAUUUGGCGCUAUAUAAAUAAAAUUGAAUUGAAUUGAAUUGAAUAAGCGCUU